UUCCUCAUUUUUUAUUUUUUGAAUAAACACUCAAUAAUAGCAUAGACAUAGCCAUGCAGAAAUGCACAUGCACUCCUGUAGGCAAUCACAUCUGUCUCCCACAAUCUCAUUCAAUAAUAGAACCAAUAAUAAUACAUAGCCUGCACUGAUAUCAACUUUUAUCUUCAACAUAAUAUAUAAAGAGGAAUUGGAGAGACUUUGGAGAGGCAGAGAGCAAAAGAGAAAAAUAUAAACAGUCAUUAAGAAAAAAAAAUUAAGUGUUCAAUCAUCAGAUCUUCUCUUCGUAAAAGAAUGGGUCCAAAGCUUGGUAUAGGUUGAGAUUUCGGCGAUAUGGUUGGUGACAAUAGAAAGAAAAUCAAGUGCAAAUUUUUUCAUGUAGUUACUACAAGAGGAAUAACAAGAUUAAAACAACAUAUCACACAUAUAUCUGGAGAAGUAGAGGCACGUAAAAAGGCUCCGAAAGAAAUUUCGGUAAUGUUGCGAAAACAUCUUCAAGAAAGUAAAACUGCCAGAGAAAUAAUGAAAAAAAUAAAAGAAACAACUAUAAUGUCCAUUAGAGAAGAACGUAGGCACAUUCACAACGUCGAUACUGAAAGUAGCAGCGAGAAUGAUUAUGAACAAGGUUCCCGAUACGCAAAUAGAGAAUAUUUAUCACAAAUGAGGAAGAAGCAAUUACGGAAUGCAAUGAAAGAAAAUCGACAGCAAGCCUUCGAUGAAGAGAAGCGUAUGCGAUACGAUGGCGGUAUGAACUUUAAUAUCCUAGUACAUUGUUAUACUUGUAAAACAUGUCAAUUAAUUAGUAUUAUUUAAUUGUAGGGCAUACUGGUGGUACUUCUCGAGGUCAAACAUCUGGUAUGAAAACAUGAAUAUUCUGUAGGUCUAGCGUAAGAGAAGAACCUAAGAAGUUUUCAAGCGGGGUAGAUCAUUUCAUGUUCCCGUCAAAACAAAAAACUCUCAAACAGUUUUACGCUCCUAAAAAAUUCAAAGCAGUUGGUAAGGCCAUUUCAAAGUGGUUUUUAUUUAAUGAUAUUUCGUUUAAUGCUGCUGAUAGUGGACCUUAUUAUCAAUCUAUGAUAAAUACUAUUGCUGAGGCGGGGACUGAAAUUACGGGGGCGUCAAAUCGGUAGUACUUAUCUAGAUGAAGAAGUUUAUGAAAUUGACGGUUAUAUAUCCACUUUGAAAACAAAAUGGCAAGAAUAUGGUUGUGCAGUUAUGUGUGAUGGGUGGAGUACAAAAAAUAAGCAUCUUAUUAUCAAUUUUAUGAUAUAUUGUGAUCGAUCAAUGAUGUAUCAUAGUUCUGUGGAUUGUACUGAUAAAAUAAAAAACGCAGAUUUUAUUUUGCAUCUUAUAAAUAAAGUCAUUGAUGAGAUAAGAGAGCAAAAUAUUAUACAAGUUGUUACAAACACUGAAGCUUCGAACAAAGCUGCUGGGAAAAGGUUGAUGCUGGAAAGGCCGCAUAUAUUUUGGUCUCCUUGCGUUGUACAUUGCAUCGAUCUGAUGUUGGAAGAUAUCGGUAAGAUGACCAAAAUAAAAAGAUGCAUAGAAAGGCAAAGAAAAUUACAAGUUUUAUUUACAACAGUGACAAAAUUGUAAAUCGUAUAAAAUUGUACACAAAAAAUAUAGAGUUUUAUUC